rfam:Salmo salar isolate Sally breed double haploid chromosome ssa19, whole genome shotgun sequence.
UGCAUUCACUACUGUAAAUCGCUCUGGAUAAGAGCGCCUACUAAAUGACUAAAA